CCUACGGGUGGCAGCAGUGAGGAAUAUUGGUCAAUGGACGAGAGUCUGAACCAGCCAAGUAGCGUGAAGGAUGACUGCCCUAUGGGUUGUAAACUUCGUUUAUAAAGGAAUAAAACGAGGCACGUGUGCCGUUUUGCAUGUACUUUAUGAAUAAGGAUCGGCUAACUCCGUGCCAGCAGCCGCGGUAAUACGGAGGAUCCGAGCGUUAUCCGGAUUUAUUGGGUUUAAAGGGAGCGUAGUUGGGUUGUUAAGUCAGUUGUGAAAGUUUGCGGCUCAACCGUAAAAUUGCAAUUGAUACUGGCAGUCUUGAGUACAGUUGAGGUAGGCGGACUUCGUGGUGUAGCGG
rnacentral:rRNA from 1 species